UACGUAGGGGGCUAGCGUUGUCCGGAAUCAUUGGGCGUAAAGAGCGUGUAGGCGGCCCGGUAAGUCCGCUGUGAAAGUCGGGGGCUCAACCCUCGAAUGCCGGUGGAUACUGCAGGGCUAGAGUCCGGAAGAGGCGAGUGGAAUUCCCGGUGUAGCGGUGAAAUGCGCAGAUAUCGGGAGGAACACCAAUGGCGAAGGCAGCUCGCUGGGACGGUACUGACGCUGAGACGCGAAAGCGUGGGGAGCAAACAGG
rnacentral:rRNA from 1 species